ensembl:snRNA U6 U6 spliceosomal RNA
GUGCUCGCUUUGACAGCACGUACGCUAAAAUUGGAGCAAUACCGAGAAGAUGAGCAUGGCCCCUGUGCAAGGAUGACAUGCAAAUUCGCGACACGUUUCAUAUUAAA